rnacentral:rRNA from 1 species
UACGAAGGGGGCUAGCGUUGCUCGGAAUCACUGGGCGUAAAGCGCACGUAGGCGGAUCUUUUAAGUCAGGGGUGAAAUCCUGGAGCUCAACUCCAGAACUGCCUUUGAUACUGGGGAUCUCGAGUCCGGAAGAGGUAAGUGGAACUCCGAGUGUAGAGGUGAAAUUCGUAGAUAUUCGGAAGAACACCAGUGGCGAAGGCGGCUUACUGGUCCGGUACUGACGCUGAGGUGCGAAAGCGUGGGGAGCAAACAGG